AGUGAACGCUGGCGGUAGGCCUAACACAUGCAAGUCGAACGGCAGCACGGUAAGAGCUUGCUCUUACGGGUGGCGAGUGGCGGACGGGUGAGGAAUACAUCGGAAUCUACUUUUUCGUGGGGGAUAACGUAGGGAAACUUCCGCUAAUACCGCAUACGACCUACGGGUGAAAUCAGGGGAUCUUCGGACCUUGCGCGAUUGAAUGAGCCGAUGUCGGAUUAGCUAGUUGGCGGGGUAAAGGCCCACCAAGGCAACGAUCCGUAGCUGGUCUGAGAGGAUGAUCGGCCACACUGGAACUGAGACACGGUCCAGACUCCUACGGGAGGCAGCAGUGGGGAAUAUUGGACAAUGGGCGCAAGCCUGAUCCAGCCAUACCGCGUGGGUGAAGAAGGCCUUCGGGUUGUAAAGCCCUUUUGUUGGGAAAGAAAAGCAGCAGGUUAAUACCCCGCUGUUCUGACGGUACCCAAAGAAUAAGCACCGGCUAACUUCGUG
rnacentral:rRNA from 1 species